UACAGAGGGUGCAAGCGUUAAUCGGAAUUACUGGGCGUAAAGCGCACGUAGGUGGUCACUUAAGUCAGGUGUGAAAUCCCCGGGCUCAACCUGGGAAUGGCAUUUGAUACUGGGUGGCUAGAGUAUGAUAGAGGGAAGUGGAAUUUCCGGUGUAGCGGUGAAAUGCGUAGAUAUCGGAAGGAACAUCAGUGGCGAAGGCGACUUCCUGGAUUAAUACUGGACACUGAGGAGCGAAAGCGUGGGGAGCGAACAGG
rnacentral:rRNA from 1 species